GACGAACGCUGGCGGCGUGCUUAACACAUGCAAGUCGAACGGAAAGGCCCUGCUUGCAGGAUACUCGAGUGGCGAACGGGUGAGUAACACGUGGGUGAUCUGCCCUGCACUUCGGGAUAAGCUUGGGAAACUGGGUCUAAUACCGGAUAGGAGCCAUCUUUAGUGUGGUGGUUGGAAAGUUUUUUCGGUGUAGGAUGAGCUCGCGGCCUAUCAGCUUGUUGGUGGGGUAAUGGCCUACCAAGGCGGCGACGGGUAGCCGGCCUGAGAGGGUGUACGGCCACAUUGGGACUGAGAUACGGCCCAGACUCCUACGGGAGGCAGCAGUGGGGAAUAUUGCACAAUGGGCGCAAGCCUGAUGCAGCGACGCCGCGUGGGGGAUGAAGGCCUUCGGGUUGUAAACUCCUUUCGCUAGGGACGAAGCUUUGUUGUGACGGUACCUAGAUAAGAAGCACCGGCUAACUACGUG
rnacentral:rRNA from 1 species